CUAAUCCUAGGAUUCCAAGAUGGCGGAUUAGUGGGAAGUGGCUUUUCUCAAAGCUCAGUAACUCAGACUCGAACAGGAAGACAACUACUUCUCUGUGAGGAUGUCCCCUAACUGUCCGUCCAACAUGCCUCACUUGUUCAGAAAUAUCAUCUCCGAUAUUUGAAACGUCCCACAUUCCAGAAAGGAAUCAAAGCAGGAGCCCUCUUCUGCUUUUUGGACAUAAGGUUUAUAUGAGAAUGUGUAGCCACGAGCAACAGCAGCAAGGAACAUCUCAAUACAGGAGAAUAAUUGCUCCUGCUUAUUUAAGAGUACCAUUUGCAUGGGAUUUUUCCCCUAUCCUUUCACCUUCAGUUUGUGGAUGUCUUCGCCUGUGAGG